AGUAACACGUGGGCAACCUGCCUCAGAGAGGGGAAUAGCCUUCCGAAAGGGAGAUUAAUACCGCAUAAGAUUGUAGCUUCGCAUGAAGUAGCAAUUAAAGGAGUAAUCCGCUAUGAGAUGGGCCCGCGGCGCAUUAGCUAGUUGGUGAGGUAACGGCUCACCAAGGCGACGAUGCGUAGCCGACCUGAGAGGGUGAUCGGCCACAUUGGGACUGAGACACGGCCCAGACUCCUACGGAAGGCAGCAG
rnacentral:rRNA from 1 species